rnacentral:rRNA from 1 species
UACGAAGGGGGCUAGCGUUACUCGGAAUUACUGGGCGUAAAGCGUGCGUAGGCGGUUUGUUAAGUCCGUUGUGAAAGCCCUGGGCUCAACCUGGGAAUUGCAGUGGAUACUGGCGAGCUAGAGUGCGGUAGAGGCGAGUGGAAUUCCUGGUGUAGCGGUGGAAUGCGCAGAUAUCAGGAGGAACACCAAUAGCGAAGGCAGCUCGCUGGGACGUUACUGACACUGAGGCGCGAAAGCGUGGGGAGCGAACAGG